UACGGAGGGUGCGAGCGUUAAUCGGAAUUACUGGGCGUAAAGCGUGCGCAGGCGGUUUGUUAAGUCUGCUGUGAAAUCCCCGAGCUCAACUUGGGAAUUGCAGUGGAUACUGGCAAGCUGGAGUACGGUAGAGGAAGGUGGAAUUCCCGGUGUAGCAGUGAAAUGCGUAGAGAUCGGGAGGAACACCAGUGGCGAAGGCGGCCUUCUGGACCAGUACUGACGUUCAUGCACGAAAGCGUGGGGAGCAAACAGG
rnacentral:rRNA from 1 species